GGAGGGGCCGGGAUGAGGGUGCGGGGCAGCGCGGAGGCGGCCGGCGUCGCCGCUUGUCCCUCCCGUCGGCUGUGGUGCUGUCAGCCGCAGAUGUUUUGGGCUCUGACUGUUGGGAAUGGGGAGUGGAAUAAAAGGCGUCUUUGCCUCCCAAAUUUCUUGCCGAGAAAAAAGGCAGGGUUGAAGAUGACAGAGGGUUGGGGGGGGGUCGCCUGGAAGAUGGUGGCAGAGUAAAUUGCAGCAACCCCCCCCCAACAACGUUUUUCUGGAAAUAAAAAUUAUUCUAGCUGAACCUUUAGAAGGAAAUCCCGCCUUGAAGAGAGACGCGGAGGGUCUUGUUCUUUUGAUUCUGGUUUGAUUGUAUAAUAAUGAUGAUAUAAUACUAAUGACGAGGACGACACUGCCUUUUAUUUUGACCCCAGUGCUGUCAAAGCGUAGUUACAGCUGGGGAUAAAGCCCUUGAAAAUCUGAUGUAUGAAGAAGGAAUACAGUUGCUCUAGGAAUGGUCUUUAUUUUAUGAAGAUAUGUAUUUUAGAAUUAAAAUUUGACAAAACGAGGCCUUUCUUCUUUUCCACUUUUCAGCCAAUGCUCAUAAAAUGGGGCUGGCUAUUGCUGCCUUGAAUAUGGAAAAAUAAAUGAUUUUACCCGGUAUAAUUCUAUGUAGUUAGUCAACCCUUUCUCUUUUCCUUUGACUUUCUCAACAGUUCUUAAAAUGAAGAAGUUGAAUUUCCGAAAAGUUUUGGAUGGCUUGACUGCCUCCUCACCGGGCAGUGGCAGCAGCAGCGGCAGUAACAGCGGUGGGACUGGUAGUGGUCCCUUGCAUCCAGGAGGGACAGCUGGAGUUCUGAGAGAGGAGAUUCAGGAAACCUUGACUUCAGAAUAUUUCCAGAUUUGUAAGGGAACAUCUAUACUUGUGUGAGCUGUUCAGUGAGAAUCUGUAACCCAAAGGACAGGCGGAGAGGUCAGCUAAGAAACAGCAGAAAACAGAAGACAAGACUGCAGUGAUAGACAAAGGUGGAUAUCAAGCCAAAUGCAACAGCACUGCAUGCUGUCGGGCAACAGCAAAGGAUCCCUGUGCAUGCAAAAAGAAAGUUGCACAAUAUGAAGGAAGCAGUAAAAAUGAAAUGAAGUAGAAGAGACAUGCAGAAAGAAAAAUGCUCUCGGAUAUGUCACAAUCAUCUUGAUUCUUUACCUGGAAAACCUGUAUUUUUUCCUUUGUAAUUAUCUAAUAUACUUUGUGUCAAAGAACAAGGACCUGAGUUCCACUUAAAGAAGAUGAAGAAGUUAACAGAUACCGUUCUCGGGUUUUAUCAUGAAAUUAGAAAUGAAAAUUUUCAGUUUCUAGUAGUCAUGAACAGAGAGCCUCAGGUAAGCCCGAGAGUGCAGGCAGACAGUCAGGAUGCUCCUGCGCAGGCUCCUCAGGUGCAGCUGUGCUGGUGGGAAAAAUCAUGCUGUUUAGCCUAACGAGGCAAAACAGAAUAAAGGCCAAGGUAAUUCAGUAGAGAGGGUCUUAAAUGCACAGCUGUAUCAGCUGCUGCCUCCUUCCCACCUGGUCUUCAUUUUUUCUCUGUGUAAUCUGUUUGCUUCCCUACUGGGCCUGCUAACAUUAUCUGAUUCCAGGCCAAACUGAUAAUAUUUGUUAUGAGGCCUGCCAAAAUUAAUAAAAUUUGAGUUCAUCAUCUUGGUGUUCCCUGAACUAAAGUUAACUACCUGUGUCAAAUCCUAAAGUCCACUUGUUACACCAGCAUCAGGCUAAGAUGUAAAUCUUCAUUUGAACUAAGGAACAGCUGCACUCCUCUUGAAACUCUACAUGCACAGAGAGAUGUUUGUUUGUAAGUGGAUACAAUAGACAGAGUGCCUAUUGGUGUUUUAAAAGCCAAAACCUGGAGUACUUUUCUGUUGACUUCACAUAUGGAGAAAAUUAUGGUGUAAAAUGUAGACAAGAAUAAAAUAAUACCAAGAUGAGUAAGUCCAUUAAAAAUGUAGAUGAGCAAAUGACUUUAGCGUUAUUAAUGCUGGUUGGGAAUUUGACUGGCCAAAUGAGCAUGUUUAUACUUGGGACCAAUUAAAAGGCUUACCAUUUUAAUCACUGGCAGAACUGGACAUUCAGUGUUUUCCUGGAUGACAAGAAUUUUCUUUUGUUGUUUUUUCAGUUUGGCUUUGUUUUGGUCUAGCAACUGCACCAGAGUGUCCUCAGUGUAGAGAAGAUAACAAUACACUACCACAGUGUUAGUAACAAUAUCUUGUUACUAACAUUUAGUAACAGUAUCUGAGAGUCUCUCUACAGCUUGAGGGCAAAACAUUGCUGCCAUUCCUACCCUGAGGAAAAUCUACAGUAACAGAAUGUUUCCAGAAGUAGAAAAAUCCUACCAGUCGGGAACCUCCACGUGGACCCGGCCUCUCAGCUUUUCCUGACUCCCCACCAGGGCAGCUGCUGUGUAGGCUCCGCUGUAACGUACCAACGGCACAGGUGGUGCAGUGCGUUGGGGCUGGACUCAUGGAGAAUGUUCUGGAGCUUCCCAAGAAGACCCCUCCAACAUUACUAGGCAAAAAGGUGGAUCAGGAAUACCCUCCUAAGCCCCGGGAACAGUUCCUCCUGAAAUAAUUAAAGAGACACACAUCUUUCAGCUCUGACUUUUUUUUAAUCAGCCUGAAAAGACCAGCUUUCAGAUUCCCAAAGAAAUUGCAAACACAUCUUUAAAAAAAAAUUAUGGGGAUCAAACUCAAAGACCCUCUACUUUGGCUUUCGCACACAUUUCAUUCCUGGAGAUGGUUAGAAUAUGGUGUUUCUAAAAUAGAAGGACUUAUCUUUCCUCCUCUGCUUUGCAACUAAGACUAGCUUUCUUUCAGCACCAAAUGACAGCUUUCUGCCUGGCCCUCAGAGGAACAUGGAGCAUUCGAGGAUAAGAAGGGAAGACAUUAGAGCACAGGCAAAGAGAUGAUGAUGCCACAGAAGAGAUACAAGAUGCACUUUUCAAAGAUACGGUGAAUAAAGCCAGUUUGGAUGAUUGAGCUCAUAAUUUUUAACUAAUGUCCACACUCAUAGUGUUUAAUUAGGCAGGGCCAGCAGAGCCCCCUGAGUAUGGAAAGCCAGCAGGCCGGAACUCAAACAGGGUCAUGGUGACCCAUUGCCACCCACAGUGCUGCGCAUGGUGCUGGAGGCCCUACAGGCAGGAGAGCAGCGCUGGGGCACCUCAGUGGCAGCCAUCAAGCUCUACAUCCUGCACAAGUACCCCACAGUCGAUGUCACCUGCUUCAAGUACCUACUGAAGCAGGCCCUUGCCACAGGCAUGAGCCGUGGCCUCCUUGCCAGGCCCAUCAACUCCAAGGCCAGGGGUGCCACUGGCAGCUUCAAGCUUGUCCCCAAGCAUCAGAAGAAGCCGCAGUGCAGCAGGAAAAGUACUCGGACAGGGCCUGCUGGCUCCAGCAAGAAAAAUAUUGCAGAACCAUGUGAAGCAAGAGCUUCCCGCAAACAGGGCAAAGCCCUAGAGACAGCCCCUCAGGGAGGCUGCAAGGCGAAAGGCACUGGGCCACAGCAGGUUGUAGCCAAGAAGGACCCCCCAAAGUCAACUGGGGCUUCCUCAACUGUCCACAAGCUUGGCAGGAAGCCCAAGGUCUCAGGCAACAGGAGCAGGCAAGAAGACACAGGAGCCCCUGGGAAAACUUCAACUGCAGCCUCCAAGCCUGGAAAAUGUGCUGCCUCCCUGAAGGGUACAAAACCCGCAGUGAAGGCCGCCCCAGGGCCUGGACCCAAAGUCAUUGCUGCCCCCAAAGCCGCCACUGCUUCCAAGGCUCGUGCCCCCAGGACCAGGACUCUGUCUCCAGCCAGGAAGGCUGGGGGCCACAAGAACCCCAGGCCACUGGUCAAGAGGUCAUAGUUAUUGUACUCAGAGCUCAGCAGCUAUAGGCCGGUGGGACUGUGGGUGGCUGGGCUGGAGUUUUUAUUCCUCCAAAUCGUUGCACUACUAAUUUAACCCUAACUUAUUUCUCAAAUCAUGACCUAGAUAUCAAUAAAGACACUGAUGUAUCACCAAAAAAAAAAAAAUUAACAUUACAAAAGUCACAUAUGUUAACUUAAAAUAAUAAAAUGAAUUUGGAAGUACACAUAUAAGACUGUAUUAACAUGCUCAGAUUCCAAAUAUUUUUCAUACAAAUUUUGAUAAGUUUGACAUGUAAAAUAGGAGUCUGCUAUCUCAUAUUUCAAGUUAUUUUUCCUCCACAAUAGUGAUCGUGGAUUUUAAAUCACAUCUAAGUCUAAUCUAUUAAUACCACCUGACAAGCUGAAUCAAUAUCACUACCGUUUUGUGACCCACAGUGAAUUGAUCUGCAACUGAUAACUCCCUGACUUUUGUGGCUCAGAAUGAUGCAAUUCCCCCAUGAAUUUUUCAUUCAUUCAUACCAAAAUGCAACACAAUACUUCCUAUAUUCCACUAAAUGAGAAACUUAGAUUCAACAUUCUAUUCUAACAAUCAGAAAAAAAAUAACUGAAGGAAGAGGACAAGCUCUAUCUGUUACCAGAUUGAGAACUGUAAAAGAAGUGAAAGCACAGGACAACGAAUUUGUCCUCAGCACACUUAGAGAGCCAGGUGAAUACAGACAACCCAGUGAGUUACUUCAGGAUCCUACAAAUGUGGCCAAAUGUCAGGCUAAGAAACUGUGAAUUGAAGUUGAAGAAUUUUUGGAAGUUCAGUGUCAUUCUGAGAAUUAAAAUACUCAAUGAGAUUUAGCCACAAUACUUUUGUGUUUUACCUAAACAAGUCUCACCUGGUUCCUAUAGUAAAUACAAGAGAGAAACUCUAUUGUAGAUUUAAAGAUAGAAAAAGAAUUAUUUUGACCAGCAUUUUCUGUACCCAACAAAGUUUUCUCAGUAUAAAUUAUUUUACAAAAACUGAACUGCUUGGGUUUUUUCAAAGCUUUACUGAUAUGACAUAAACAAAAUAUCUCCCUCCAAUCUUCCAUGUGACAAAAGAAAAAUACUGACCCUUGCUUUUGUUUUUAUUCUAGCCAUUUUAUUUCACUUCACGAAUCCAUGGUGGUGGUUAAGGACUUAUGUAAUGUAAAGGUUACAUGCAUAGCUUCACCAAAAGAUAAGCGAGAUAUAAGACUGUAAAGUGUUUUCCUUCCUGCCCCUGCCUAUAAGCCAUUCAGAGUGCAGGUGGGGAGAGCUGAGAUGGAAGCAAAGGCCCUGCCUGUGAGCCAGCUGGUGCAUGGGGUGGGGUGAGGAGUACAGCUUCCCCUAUGAGCAGCAAGCUGACUCGGAGGCACUGUUGUUUGACUGACUUAGCAAGCCUAAACCAAGCAACUAUUUACAGGACAACAGUAUGUAAUAUAGUAACUGUGGUACAUUUCCUACUGUCUUAUCACUGUUUAGAUGCAUUUUAUUGCUGUUUUAUUCCCCUUAAAUUUAAAGAUAAGGAAAAACUGAAGGAAUUAGUGGGAUCCAAAAUGUACAAUAGAUAUUGUGAAGGUGAAAGGGGAGGAAAUGUCUAAAAAGGGAAGGUGGUAGCUAUAGUUAAUUUCCUAUUAACUUGUUUUGAAGUUCUGCAUCAUUUUCAUUGUUUGGUUUGGUUUCAUUUUAUUCUGUUUGUUUUGUUAGAUUCUAUUGUGUCAGGUUGUAUGGGAAAUUAUUUCUACAAUAAAAAGAUAUAUUAUGGUA